CCUACGGGGGGCAGCAGUAGGGAAUCUUCCACAAUGGGCGAAAGCCUGAUGGAGCAACGCCGCGUGGGUGAAGAAGGUCUUCGGAUCGUAAAACCCUGUUGGUAGAGAAGAAAGUGCGUGAGAGUAACUGUUCACGUUUCGACGGUAUCUAACCAGAAAGCCACGGCUAACUACGUGCCAGCAGCCGCGGUAAUACGUAGGUGGCAAGCGUUAUCCGGAUUUAUUGGGCGUAAAGGGAACGCAGGCGGUCUUUUAAGUCUGAUGUGAAAGCCUUGGGCUUAACCGGAGAAGUGCAUUGGAAACUGGGAGGCUUGAGUGCAGAAGAGGAGAGUGGAACUCCAGGUGUAGCGGUGAAAUGCGUAGAUAUAUGGAAGAACACCAGUGGCGAAAGCGGCUCUCUGGUCUGUAACUGACGCUGAGGUUCGAAAGCGUGGGGAGCAAACAGGAUUAGAUACCCUGGUAGUC
rnacentral:rRNA from 1 species